rnacentral:rRNA from 1 species
UACGUAGGUGACAAGCGUUGUCCGGAUUUACUGGGCGUAAAGAGCGCGCAGGCGGUCGAUCAAGUCGAGUGUGAAAGCCCCCGGCUCAACUGGGGAGAGUCAUUCGAUACUGAUCGACUCGAAGGCAGGAGAGGGUAGUGGAAUUCCCGGUGUAGUGGUGAAAUGCGUAGAUAUCGGGAGGAACACCAGUGGCGAAGGCGACUACCUGGCCUGUUCUUGACGCUGAGGCGCGAAAGCUAGGGGAGCAAACGGG